ACUUUUAACCGGACGCUAUUUAGCGUCCGAUUUUGAUUAAUUAGCGUCUGAAAAGGCGGACGCUAAUUAUAAUCCAUAUUAAAAUAAAAUCGACCCAUGUGGCAGCCCUUUACUUUCAUUCUCCUCAUAUACGCGGCCCUAACUCCCUCCUCAUUCUCUCUCUCACUCAAACCCUAACUCCCUCCUCAUUCUCUCUCUCUCACUCAAACCCUAACUCCCUCCUCAUUCUCUCUCUCUCACUUACGCGGCCCUCCCUCUCCUCUCUCUCUCACUUACGCGGCCCUCCCUCCCCUCUCUCUCCUCUUCGAACCCCUGCCAUCCUUGCUUAGCAUCGAAGAUCCGGUGGGUUUUUGUCGCCGCCGAAAGUGUUCAUCGCUCAGCAUCAUCGAAAAUCCGAUCUUGGUGGUUGCAGAUCAGAUGUGUUCAAGGAUUAUUUGAAGAGAUUGAAUCCAAAUAUUAGUUAAAUAGAUGUAUUUUUUUUUUUUUUUGAUAAGUGAAUAAAAGUAUUUUUGAAAUACUCUCUUCCAUAUGAGAAGAGAUUGGUUUUGUUUCAUAUUGUAGUUGAUGUAAUUUUUUUAUUUAACAUUUUAGUUCAAGUAAUUUUGUUCUAGAUAUUACUGAGGGAUGUAAAAUAUGUUGUAUUUACCAUAAUAAUUAAUAAGAAGUACUUCCAUUUAUGUUUCA